AGCUCCAAUAGCGUAUAUUAAAGUUGUUGCAGUUAAAAAGCUCGUAGUUGGACUUGAGGGCACGGCGCUGGCGGUCCGCCGCAAGGUGAGUACUGCCGAGCCGGCUCUUUUACCUCUCGAAGACAGCAUGUGCCCUUUACUGGGUGUGUGCAUAUUGGAUUCGGGACCUUUACUUUGAAAAAAUUAGAGUGUUCAAAGCAGGCGAUUGCUUGAAUACAUUAGCAUGGAAUAAUGGAAUAGGACUUUGGUUCUAUUUUGUUGGUUUCUGGGACUGAAGUAAUGAUUAAUAGGGAUAGUUGGGGGCAUUAGUAUUUAAUUGUCAGAGGUGAAAUUCUUGGAUUUAUGAAAGACUAACUUCUGCGAAAGCAUUUGCCAAGGAUGUUUUCAUUAAUCAAGAACG
rnacentral:rRNA from 1 species